AGUGAACGCUGGCGGUAGGCCUAGCACAUGCAGGUCGAACGGCAGCACAGUAAGAGCUUGCUCUUACGGGUGGCGAGUGGCGGACGGGUGAGGAAUACAUCGGAAUCUACUUUUUCGUGGGGGAUAACGUAGGGAAACUUACGCUAAUACCGCAUACGACCUACGGGUGAAAGCAGGGGAUCUUCGGACCUUGCGCGAUUGAAUGAGCCGAUGUCGGAUUAGCUAGUUGGCGGGGUAAAGGCCCACCAAGGCGACGAUCCGUAGCUGGUCUGAGAGGAUGAUCAGCCACACUGGAACUGAGACACGGUCCAGACUCCUACGGGAGGCAGCAGUGGGGAAUAUUGGACAAUGGGCGCAAGCCUGAUCCAGCUAUACCGCGUGGGUGAAGAAGGCCUUCGGGUUGUAAAGCCCUUUUGUUGGGAAAGAAAAGCAGCAGGUUAAUACCCCGCUGUUCUGACGGUACCCAAAGAAUAAGCACCGGCUAACUUCGUG
rnacentral:rRNA from 1 species